UACGUAGGGUGCGAGCGUUGUCCGGAAUUAUUGGGCGUAAAGAGCUUGUAGGCGGUCUGUCGCGUCUGCUGUGAAAAUCCGGGGCUCAACCCCGGACUUGCAGUGGGUACGGGCAGACUAGAGUGUGGUAGGGGAGACUGGAAUUCCAGGUGUAGCGGUGAAAUGCGUAGAUAUCUGGAGGAAUACCGGUGGCGAAGGCGGCAUCCUGGACCGACAUUGACGCUGAACGGCGAAAGCUAGGGGAGCAAACGGG
rnacentral:rRNA from 1 species